GGAUUUCAAAACCACAAGAGAUUGCUUCUGGGACAUCUCAUGUUUAGAGGGGAGUCAUUGACUUUUCACUCUUGAAGGGAAAGGACUGGCCAAGGCCUGCUAGUCAAGAGCUGCUGCAACUGCAGCUGGGGAGACAGGGCGUUUUCGGGGCAAAAGGCUGAUGUUGGAAUUUGCUUUCUAGUGGGACGAGAGAGCACUGACCUCUGGGGUGGAUCUCAAACCUUCACAGCCAGGCAUUUCUCCCCAGGUAUUAGGACUUGUCCUCCCGUUCCCUGGAAGAGGAGGCCAUGUAAACACACUGUUGGCAUCAGGAGUUGUGCACGCAGUUUUUAAGGGCUUCUGCAAGGGUGCGCAGAGAUACACAAAACAUUGUGACAUCUAUAGCAAAGUGGGAGUCAAACGGGCCUCAAAGGAUGCAGGAGAAACUCGAAGAGCAAGGAACCAGCCUUGGGAGAGGCCAGCCCAGAUCCACUGCUCGCUAACAUGCCAAAAUUUAUUGACAAUGACAGAAAAUGCUCAGUCCCAGAGUUGACCGAUGGCAGCGACCAGAGAAGACACAAACGCAGCGAGAGAACAUGCAAACCCAUCCGGAAAGCUAAACACAUUCCAGCUGGGCUUUGCUGACACUGAGCUUUAGGAGAAGUCUCCCGGAUCACAACGGUAAUAUGUGCCUCUUGGGUUUCAAGUGCGUUUCAGAGUUUCCACUUUAACCUUGAGGACGCACGGGCCAUGCUCAAACAAGCAGAGUCUUGAAGCAAGCUUCAGUUCCAGUGGACAGAAAUCAAAGCAGAAAUGGAAACCAAAGGCUUCAGAAGAGGCUGGAGUGCGAUGGGUAAGAGACAAACUGUACUAAAAAAUACCUGUGGAAGAGGGAGGGAAAAGCUGAACCAAGAGAAAGCUUGAUUUUGUAGGAAAUUAUUAUUAAACGCAGAUCAAACACAGAAUGCAAGAAAAAUGUCAGGCUGAAGUCCACCCAAUAACCCAGAAAAUGGGAUUGUCACAUGGGUGACAUUUUUGUUAAAAAAAGGAUUUUACAGCUUUUCUUGAGAUCAGCAAAGACAAUAGGCACAGGCUCUGGGGAAGCAAUGAAAUGUGGUCGCUACAAUUGCAGAUGGAGAGCAACCGGUAAGAUAGUGCUCGGAAAACUGAAGCUAACUCAGUCCAUGUGGCAGUCUGUUACUGCGUCGUGGUGUGUAAAAGCUUCCUGAACCCCUGACGGUCACCGAAGAUGUAUGGCAGAGACGGGGGAGAUGACCUGUAAAACACCACGGGUCAAUCACCUGCAGUCUGACUUCAGGAGAAAAAUGAUGUGUGGAGGCAGAAACCUAAUCUCCAAGCUAAUAACGGAAAAAUGGGAAACAAAGAAUUUCAAAUAAACUUGCUGGGCAGAGGGCACACAAGUAUACAUUAACUAUCUAAGUGCAAACAGUUGACAUACUGAUUCAUGAACUCAACUUGAAAAAAAUCAAUCCCCACCGAUUUAGCUACAGGCAGAGUCGGCUCGGCUGACAAGCAGCAUGGGAAACGAGCGCCAGGACAACAGAAAACCACGCAGGAGGACGAGGUGGCAACCAGGCAUAAUGCAUGAGGAUGUGAAACAAGUUUCAGUUCAGCCUAAUAAUACUAAUUAGGAAAGGAGAUAAAAUAAUUGUAGCUGGCCAGCUGGACUGUCACAGUACAAUGAAGCAAACGGCCUGUAACUCCAGAAACACAGGCAAUAAUUCAGAGAGCAUAUACAGCGGAAGGGAGGUUGGGGUAAAAACAUGAGAGAAUAAUUGGGAGAAAAGGGAUGGAAUUCAGCAAAAAGAGGAAAAAAAAAAUUUAAAGCUGAUUAUCUGCAAAAAUGACCUCGCAGCAAAAAACCUAAGUGUCAAAUUUGUAAGCUUCAAAGUACUCAAGGACAAGCUUCAGAAAACAGCUCAGUAUCAGUCGGGAGCCUGACAACACGCACUACAUUUCCCUUAUCUUGGUUUCUCAAGAAAAACCACCAGUCAACACAGCUUGUAAAGCUAAACAUCAUUCUUGCAGAAGAAAACAGGCUCCUCGUGCAUAAAUAUACAUAGAGAUACAUAUUUAUAUGAACGCACGCAGACAUAUACACAUUUAACAACGGUAAGCAGAAGACAGCUGGAUCCUCUGCAAACCAAGAGAAAACCUCCCUGUGCCUGAGAAACACUUGGGACCUAAAAAGCAAAGGCAGUUACUUACCUUCGAGAAGAAUGUGACUGAUGUCAUUUGUGUGAAACCACAAAUAUUUAUUUUUAAUGAAAAAAUACUUAAAGUGUGCCACAGUGUCCAUAUAUUCAUUUGAAUAGUAGUACAAAGAUAUGUAUUUCUGAGAAAAAGUCUUAACACUGUAGAAAAUAAAUGUGGUUCUUAAAUUAUGCCAAAAGAAACCAGUAAAAAAGUAAUGUUUUAUACACUGGAAUAAAAUGAAACAAGUUGAGAUAAUAAUAAAUUAUAAUUACAGUAUUUCAAAUAUUUGCUUCAUGCUUUUUUUCAGCAUUAGUUUCUAAAUGUGUCACGUAUAAUACGCCCUCAGAAGCCAGCAGUCAGAAUGGUCUUUCAAUGGUACUGUGGAUAUAGGAUGUGGAGCUGAAUAAAGUCCUAGAAAAAUGACACCACCGUUUGUUAUUUACUGAGACAUAAAACAUCAGAACAUGGCAGUUUUAGGUUUGUAUCUAACAUACAUUUUUGUUAAUGGAAAUUAAUUUAGUGUUUGGUUUUUUUUUUUUUUUUUAAAUAAACUAAUCUUUUAUAGUUUAAUGAACUAAACAGCAAUUAUGGUCAUUAACAAGUAUGUCACCCAAGCGCACUGCACACCGUGCUUACGGGAUGCUACACGUUGUUUUGGCUUUUUAUACAAAGUUAACCAGAAUUUGGAAUCGUUU